rnacentral:rRNA from 1 species
GAUGAACGCUGGCGUCGUGCCUAAUACAUGCAAGUCGAGCGAACAGAUGAGGAGCUUGCUCCUCUGACGUUAGCGGCGGACGGGUGAGUAACACGUGGAUAACCUACCUAUAAGACUGGGAUAACUUCGGGAAACCGGAGCUAAUACCGGAUAAUAUAUUGAACCGCAUGGUUCAAUAGUGAAAGACGGUUUUGCUGUCACUUAUAGAUGGAUCCGCGCCGCAUUAGCUAGUUGGUAAGGUAACGGCUUACCAAGGCAACGAUGCGUAGCCGACCUGAGAGGGUGAUCGGCCACACUGGAACUGAGACACGGUCCAGACUCCUACGGGAGGCAGCAGUAGGGAAUCUUCCGCAAUGGGCGAAAGCCUGACGGAGCAACGCCGCGUGAGUGAUGAAGGUCUUCGGAUCGUAAAACUCUGUUAUUAGGGAAGAACAAAUGUGUAAGUAACUAUGCACGUCUUGACGGUACCUAAUCAGAAAGCCACGGCUAACUACGUG